GGUCCCGUAGCUCAGCUGGAUAGAGCAACGGAUUUCUAAUCCGUCGGUCGCAGGUUCGAAUCCUGCCGGGAUCACCA
rnacentral:tRNA from 1 species